UGAGUAAAAGCAUAUAAAAAAGAUACAAGUGUGUAAAUCAAAUACUGUACGUAGCAAAAGAAGUCAUUUGAAAACAAUUAAAAAGUUGACAGUAGGAACGAAAAAAUAAUACGAUAACUAAAGCAAAGAAAACGACAAGUGAUAAUAUAGUAGGAGAGUAAUAAUAACAUACUGAAAAGUCAUGUCCUCCUUGAGGCAUAAGCAGCAGAUCAGGUCAGAUUAUAUACUUUGUAUAUAAAAGAAGCCUAUAGAAACCUACCAAUUUACAUUCAAGAAAAUGGUGAGUCCCCGCCAAUCGCAUCCCUCUCUUUUGAUUUAUGCACAUCCAGUUUCUGACUUUUUACACCUGUGUUUUAGUUCAUUUCAUAUAAAACAAGAUGCUUGUUAUACAACUAGCUUUUGUUAUGGUGUGUUUUUUCUAAAUAUGAUGAAGUUUUUAGUUUCCUCUGAAUUUCGAAUCUAAGGUGUUAAGGUCCCCUGAUAUGGAUCUAGUUAUGGGAUGCUACAAGAUGAAAUCAGUUAUCUAGACUAAACGGCUGCUAAAAUAAGGACUCUACAAAAUGGAACACUAUCUACAAAUUGAAAAGAAGUUCAAUUUUCGAAUUUGAGGACAAACUAAUUCCUAUCUACAAAUCUAUACUAAUUUUCUGUCGUUGGGGUAGUAAAAUGGGGUGAUGAUGGAUAUUCAUCAACCAUUGCUAAAUGGCAAAGUUAAUAUGUAAUAUAUGUUAGCAAGAUGUGAUGCUAGGUAGACAAGAAGGGUGGCGCUUGCCACAGAAAAAAAUUUAAGCAGAAAGCAGGUUAGACAGGUGGGUGAAUAGUGAAUUAGUACAAGCAGUCAAAGUUAAAAAGGGGUCUUGAGCAACCUUUGAGUUCUUCGUGACAACCGCUCAUUCGUUGGACUAUUCCCGAAGCUGGGCCGGGCUUAGGUAUAAGAAGCCCAACCCGAAAAAAGGGUGUAAAGUAGUACUCAUGUUAAUUUCUAGCAAUCUCAUAUAGUGUCUGGACAAUAGAGUCAGGGAACUACCCUGUAUACUCAUACUAUUUUAAUGUUUAUAUCCAUAUUUACAGGCCAUUUUUAGGAAUUACUCAAA